rnacentral:rRNA from 1 species
CCUACGGGAGGCAGCAGUGGGGAAUAUUGCGCAAUGGGCGAAAGCCUGACGCAGCAACGCCGCGUGGAGGAUGAAGGUUUUCGGAUUGUAAACUCCUUUCAGCAGGGACGAAGGCGCCUAGCGUUGACGGUACCUGCAGAAGAAGCCCCGGCUAACUACGUGCCAGCAGCCGCGGUAAUACGUAGGGGGCAAGCGUUGUCCGGAAUUAUUGGGCGUAAAGAGCACGUAGGCGGUUUGCCAAGUCAGAUGUGAAAUCCCGCAGCUUAACUGCGGAACUGCAUUUGAUACUGGCAGGCUAGAGUACAGGAGAGGGAAGCGGAAUUCCUAGUGUAGCGGUGAAAUGCGCAGAUAUUAGGAAGAACACCGGUGGCGAAGGCGGCUUCCUGGACUGUUACUGACGCUGAGGUGCGAAAGCUAGGGGAGCAAACAGGAUUAGAUACCCUGGUAGUCCACGCAGUAAACGGUGAACACUAGGUGUAGCGGGUAUUGACCCCUGCUGUGCCGCAGCAAACGCAUUAAGUGUUCCGCCUGGGGAGUACGGCCGCAAGGCUAAAACUCAAAGGAAUUGACGG